rnacentral:rRNA from 1 species
GUUCCCUGGAACGGGGCGUCAUAUAGGGUGAGAAUCCCGUAUAUGCCACGGACUACCAAUGCUCUGUGAUACACUCUCAACGAGUCGAGUUGUUUGGGAAUGCAGCUCAAAAUGGGUGGUAAAUUCCAUCUAAAGCUAAAUAUUGGCGAGAGACCGAUAGCGAACAAGUACCGUGAGGGAAAGAUGAAAAGCACUUUGGAAAGAGAGUGAAACAGUACGUGAAAUUGUUGAAAGGGAAGCGUUUGAAGUCAGUCACGUCUGUCGGAAUUCAGCCUGGCUUCUGCCUGGUGUACUUUCCGUCCGACGGGUCAGCAUCAAUUUCGACCGAGGGAAAAAGRCGUGAGGAAUGUGGCUGUCUYCGGGCAGUGUUAUAGCCUCGCGUUGUAUGUCUCGGUUGGGAUUGAGGAACGCAGCGCGCCUAUUGGCCGGGGGUUCGCGCCCCUCGGUACGCGCUUAGGAUGCUGGCAUAAUGGCUUUAAGCGACCCGUCUUGAAACACGGACC